rnacentral:rRNA from 1 species
AAAAAAGGUAAGCUACUAAGAGCGAAUGGUGGAUGCCUUGACUGGUAAAGGCGAUGAAGGACGUACUAGACUGCGAUAAGCUACGGGGAGCUGUCAAGAAGCUUUGAUCCGUAGAUUUCCGAAUGGGGCAACCCAAUGUAUAGAGAUAUACAUUACCUAUAUAGGAGCGAACGAGGGGAAUUGAAACAUCUUAGUACCCUCAGGAAAAGAAAUCAAUAGAGAUUGCGUCAGUAGCGGCGAGCGAAAGCGCAAGAGGGCAAACCCAGUGCUUGCACUGGGGGUUGUAGGACUGCAAUGUGCAAGAGGUGAGUUUAGCAGAACAUUCUGGAAAGUAUAGCCAUAGAGGGUGAUAGUCCCGUAUGCGAAAAACAAACCUUAGCUAGCAGUAUCCUGAGUAGGGCGGGACACGAGAAAUCCUGUCUGAAGCUGGGUCGACCACGAUCCAACCCUAAAUACUAAUACCAGAUCGAUAGUGCACAAGUACCGUGAGGGAAAGGUGAAAAGAACUGAGGUGAUCAGAGUGAAAUAGAACCUGAAACCAUUUGCUUACAAUCAUUCAGAGCCCUAUGUAGCAAUACAGGGUGAUGGACUGCCUUUUGCAUAAUGAGCCUGCGAGUUGUGGUGUCUGGCAAGGUUAAGCAAACGCGAAGCCGUAGCGAAAGCGAGUCUGAAUAGGGCGCUUAGUCAGAUGCUGCAGACCCGAAACGAAGUGAUCUAUCCAUGAGCAAGUUGAAGCUAGUGUAAGAACUAGUGGAGGACUGAACCCAUAGGCGUUGAAAAGCCCCGGGAUGACUUGUGGAUAGGGGUGAAAGGCCAAUCAAACUUCGUGAUAGCUGGUUCUCUCCGAAAUAUAUUUAGGUAUAGCGUUGUGUCGUAAUAUAAGGGGGUAGAGCACUGAAUGGGCUAGGGCAUACACCAAUGUACCAAACCCUAUCAAACUCCGAAUACCUUAUAUGUAAUCACAGCAGUCAGGCGGCGAGUGAUAAAAUCCGUCGUCAAGAGGGAAACAACCCAGACUACCAGCUAAGGUCCCUAAAUCUUACUUAAGUGGAAAACGAUGUGAAGUUACUUAAACAACCAGGAGGUUGGCUUAGAAGCAGCCAUCCUUUAAAGAAAGCGUAAUAGCUCACUGGUCUAGUGAUUUUGCGCGGAAAAUAUAACGGGGCUAAAGUAAGUACCGAAGCUGUAGACUUGCGCACAACUUAGAUUAUUUAAGUUUAGAAUAUGAGAAACUAAGUUAUAUGUUUAGUUAUAUUUUUACUGAUUUUUAUAGAGUAAAGAUAGAAAUAAAACUUAGUAAAAUCAGUAAAAAUAUUCUUAGACUAAAGUUAAGUAGUUUAAGUUGUGUGCAAGUGGUAGGAGAGCGUUCUAUUUGCGUCGAAGGUAUACCGGUAAGGAGUGCUGGAGCGAAUAGAAGUGAGCAUGCAGGCAUGAGUAGCGAUAAUUAAUGUGAGAAUCAUUAACGCCGUAAACCCAAGGUUUCCUACGCGAUGCUCGUCAUCGUAGGGUUAGUCGGGUCCUAAGCCGAGUCCGAAAGGGGUAGGCGAUGGCAAAUUGGUUAAUAUUCCAAUACCAACAUUAGUGUGCGAUGGAAGGACGCUUAGGGCUAAGGGGGCUAGCGGAUGGAAGUGCUAGUCUAAGGUCGUAGGAGGUUAUAUAGGCAAAUCCGUAUAACAAUACUCCGAGAACUGAAAGGCUUUUUGAAGUCUUCGGAUGGAUAGAAGAACCCCUGAUGCCGUCGAGCCAAGAAAAGUUUCUAAGUUUAGCUAAUGUUGCCCGUACCGUAAACCGACACAGGUGGGUGGGAUGAGUAUUCUAAGGCGCGUGGAAGAACUCUCUUUAAGGAACUCUGCAAAAUAGCACCGUAUCUUCGGUAUAAGGUGUGGUUCGCUUCGUACUAGGAUUUACUCCGAAAGCGAAGAAACUUACAACAAAGAGUCCCUCCCGACUGUUUACCAAAAACACAGCACUCUGCUAACUCGUAAGAGGAUGUAUAGGGUGUGACGCCUGCCCGGUGCUCGAAGGUUAAUUGAUGGGGUUAGCAUUAGCGAAGCUCUUGAUCGAAGCCCGAGUAAACGGCGGCCGUAACUAUAACGGUCCUAAGGUAGCGAAAUUCCUUGUCGGUUAAAUACCGACCUGCAUGAAUGGCGUAACGAGAUGGGAGCUGUCUCAAAGAGGGAUCCAGUGAAAUUGUAGUGGAGGUGAAAAUUCCUCCUACCCGCGGCAAGACGGAAAGACCCCGUGGACCUU